GGGUUGUGAGGUUAAGCGACUAAGCGUACACGGUGGAUGCCCUGGCAGUCAGAGGCGAUGAAGGACGUGCUAAUCUGCGAAAAGCGCCGGCGAGGUGAUAUGAACCCUUGACCCGGCGAUGUCCGAAUGGGGAAACCCAGUGCAAUCCGUUGCACUAUCGUUAACUGAAUACAUAGGUUAACGAGGCGAACCGGGGGAACUGAAACAUCUAAGUACCCCGAGGAAAAGAAAUCAACCGAGAUUCCCCCAGUAGCGGCGAGCGAACGGGGAGCAGCCCAGAGUCUGA
rnacentral:rRNA from 1 species